rnacentral:rRNA from 1 species
GACGAACGCUGGCGGCGUGCUUAACACAUGCAGGUCGAACGAUGAACCGGGUGCUUGCACUUGGGGAUUAGUGGCGAACGGGUGAGUAACACGUGAGUAACCUGCCCUGGACUCUGGGAUAACCCCGAGAAAUCGGAGCUAAUACCGGAUAGGACCUUCUCCCGCAUGGGGGUUGGUGGAAAGUUUUUCGGUUUGGGAUGGACUCGCGGCCUAUCAGCUUGUUGGUGAGGUAAUGGCUCACCAAGGCGUCGACGGGUAGCCGGCCUGAGAGGGUGACCGGCCACACUGGGACUGAGACACGGCCCAGACUCCUACGGGAGGCAGCAGUGGGGAAUAUUGCACAAUGGGCGCAAGCCUGAUGCAGCAACGCCGCGUGCGGGAUGACGGCCUUCGGGUUGUAAACCGCUUUUAGUAAGGAAGAAGGGGCUUCGGCCUUGACGGUACUUGCAGAAAAAGGACCGGCUAACUACGUGCCAGCCGCCGCAGUAAUAC